rnacentral:rRNA from 1 species
AUACGGAGGAUCCGAGCGUUAUCCGGAUUUAUUGGGUUUAAAGGGUGCGCAGGCGGCCAUUUAAGUCAGCGGUUAAAUCGUGGGGCUCCACCCCAUUCUGCCGUUGAUACUGGGUGGCUUGAUUGCGGUCGAGGUUGGCGGAAUUCGUUGUGUAGCGGUGAAAUGCAUAGAUAUGACGAAGAACACCGAUUGCGUAGGCAGCUGACCAGAUCGCAAAUGACGCUCAUGCACGAAAGUGCGGGGAUCGAACAGGAUUAGAUACCCUGGUAGUCCGCACAGUAAACGAUGAAUACUUGUUUUCGGCGAUAUAAUGUCGGAGGCAAAGCGAAAGCGUUAAGUAUUCCACCUGGGGAGUACGCCGGCAACGGUGAAACUUAAAGGAAUUGGCGGGG